GAAACAGUUGCUAAGACUGGAUAGGAAAUAAAAAGGCAUCUUUUUAUUUUUAAAAGACCUUUUUCGGAAGGUAUGCUUAAAGAGGGGCUUGCGUCACAUUAGUUAGUUGGCAGGGUAAAGGCCUACCAAGACUAUGAUGUGUAGCUGGACUGAGAGGUUGAACAGCCACAUUGGGGCUGAGACACGGCCCAAACUCCUACGGGAGGCAGCAGUAGGGAAUUUUCGGCAAUGGAGGAAACUCUGACCGAGCAACGCCGCGUGAACGAUGAAGUAUUUCGGUAUGUAAAGUUCUUUUAUUGAAGAAGAAAAAAUAGUGGAAAAACUAUCUUGACGAUAUUCAAUGAAUAAGCCCCGGCAAACUAUGUGCCAGCAGCCCGCGGUAAUACAUAGGGGGCGAGCGUUAUCCGGAAUUAUUGGGCGUAAAGGGUGCGUAGGCGGUUUAAUAAGUCUAUAGUUUAAUUUCAGUGCUUAACACUGUCCUGCUAUAGAAACUAUUAGACUAGAGUGAGAUAGAGGCAAGUGGAAUUCCAUGUGUAGCGGUAAAAUGCGUAAAUAUAUGGAGGAACACCAGAGGUGUAGGCGGCUUGCUGGGUCUUUACUGACGCUGAGGCACGAAAGCGUGGGGAGCAAACAGGAUUAGAUACCCUGGUAGUCCACGCCGUAAACGAUGAGUGCUAAGUGUCGGGAUUACUCGGUACUGAAGUUAACACAUUAAGUACUCCGCCUGAGUAGUACGUACGCAAGUAUGAAACUUAAAGGAAUUGACGGGACUCCGCACAAGCGGUGGAUCAUGUUGUUUAAUUCGAAGAUACACGAAAAACCUUACCAGGUCUUGACAUACUCUGCAAAGCUAUAGCAAUAUAGUGGAGGUUAUCAGGGAUACAGGUGGUGCAUGGUUGUCGUCAGCUCGUGUCGUGAGAUGUUAGGUUAAGUCCUAAAACGAGCGCAACCCUUGUCAUUAGUUGCCAGCAUGUCAUGAUGGGCACUUUAAUGAGACUGCCAAUGAAAAAUUGGAGGAAGGUGAGGAUCACGUCAAAUCAUCAUGCCCCUUAUGAUCUGGGCUACAAACGUGAUACAAUGGCUGUUACAAAGAGUAGCUGAAACGCAAGUUUAUAGCCAAUCUCAUAAAAGCAGUCUCAGUUCGGAUUGAAGUCUGCAACUCGACUUCAUGAAGUUGGAAUCGCUAGUAAUCGCGAAUCAGCAUGUCGCGGUGAAUACGUUCUCGGGGUUUGUACACACCGCCCGUCA
rnacentral:rRNA from 1 species